rnacentral:rRNA from 1 species
AUUGAACGCUGGCGGCAGGCCUAACACAUGCAAGUCGCACGAGAAAGCCCUUCGGGGUGAGUAGAGUGGCGGACGGGUGAGUAAAGCGAAGGAAUUUGCCCAGUAGUGGGGGAUAACUCG